UUGGAGGGCAAGUCUGGUGCCAGCAGCCGCGGUAAUUCCAGCUCCAAUAGCGUAUAUUAAAGUUGUUGCAGUUAAAAAGCUCGUAGUUGAAUUUCGGGAUUAGUACGUUGGUCGUGCCUUCGGUACGUACUGGCGUUACUGAUUCCUACCUUCUGACGAACCAUCAUGUCAUUAAUUUGGUGUGGUGGGGAAUCAGGACUGUUACUUUGAAAAAAUUAGAGUGUUUAAAGCAGGCUCGCGCUUGAAUACAUCAGCAUGGAAUAAUGAAAUAGGACGUUGACCCUAUUUUGUUGGUUUCUAGGAUUGACGUAAUGAUUAAUAGGGAUAGUUGGGGGCACUAGUAUUCAAUUGUCAGAGGUGAAAUUCUUGGAUUUAUUGAAGACUAACCACUGCGAAAGCAUUUGCCAAGGAUGUUUUCAUUAAUCAAGAACGAAAGUUAGGGGAUCGAAGACGAUUAGAUACCGUCGUAGUCUUAACCAUAAACUAUGCCGACUAGGGAUCGGAUGAUGUUAAUUUUUUAAUGACUCAUUCGGCGCCUUACGGGAAAC
rnacentral:rRNA from 1 species